rnacentral:lncRNA from 1 species
UGCUUUUAUUGUUUGAUCUUAUCCUGCCACACACACAAUGUUUCCCAAGGAUGGAUCUCCGACUCAUAUUAGUUCUUUUUCCAGAAGGUUGAAGCCAAGCAAUCUUUACUGCAUGUCCCCGAAGAAGACAGGAAAACAUGGGAUCUUGGAAUUUGUUAGAACCAUGCUUUUAAACCACACGGACCUGAUACAUGGAAGAAAAGCUUUAUACCACUCAGCUGAGACUCUUUCCUAGCUUGCACAGCCAAAAUACCACAGAAUCAUUGGUUGAAAGAAGAGUCGCUUGAUCUAUUGGUACAAAGGAGAUAAUGAAUCACUAGUGCUUUAAAGCUAUGU